rnacentral:rRNA from 1 species
GUAGGGAAUAUUGCGCAAUGGACGAAAGUCUGACGCAGCGACGCCGCGUGAGUGAUGAAGGCCUUAGGGUCGUAAAGCUCUGUUGAAUGGGAAGAAAAAAAUGACGGUACCAUUCGAGGAAGGACCGGCUAACUUCGUGCCAGCAGCCGCGGUAAUACGAGGGGUCCUAGCGUUGUUCGGAAUCAUUGGGCGUAAUGGGUGUGUAGGUGGCCAUGUAAGUCAGGUGUGAAAGCCCCGGGCUCAACCCGGGAAGUGCACUUGAUACUGCGUUGCUUGAGUACCGAAGAGGGUAGUGGAAUUCCAGGUGUAGUGGUGAAAUACGUAGAUAUCUGGAGGAACACCGGUGGCGAAGGCGGCUACCUGGUCGAGUACUGACACUGAGACACGAAAGCAUGGGGAUCAAACAGGAUUAGAUACCCCAGUAGUCC